rnacentral:rRNA from 4 species
UGCAAGUCGAACGAACUCUGGUAUUGAUUGGUGCUUGCAUCAUGAUUUACAUUUGAGUGAGUGGCGAACUGGUGAGUAACACGUGGGAAACCUGCCCAGAAGCGGGGGAUAACACCUGGAAACAGAUGCUAAUACCGCAUAACAACUUGGACCGCAUGGUCCGAGUUUGAAAGAUGGCUUCGGCUAUCACUUUUGGAUGGUCCCGCGGCGUAUUAGCUAGAUGGUGAGGUAACGGCUCACCAUGGCAAUGAUACGUAGCCGACCUGAGAGGGUAAUCGGCCACAUUGGGACUGAGACACGGCCCAAACUCCUACGGGAGGCAGCAGUAGGGAAUCUUCCACAAUGGACGAAAGUCUGAUGGAGCAACGCCGCGUGAGUGAAGAAGGGUUUCGGCUCGUAAAACUCUGUUGUUAAAGAAGAACAUAUCUGAGAGUAACUGUUCAGGUAUUGACGGUAUUUAACCAGAAAGCCACGGCUAACUACGUGCCAGCAGCCGCGGUAAUACGUAGGUGGCAAGCGUUGUCCGGAUUUAUUGGGCGUAAAGCGAGCGCAGGCGGUUUUUUAAGUCUGAUGUGAAAGCCUUCGGCUCAACCGAAGAAGUGCAUCGGAAACUGGGAAACUUGAGUGCAGAAGAGGACAGUGGAACUCCAUGUGUAGCGGUGAAAUGCGUAGAUAUAUGGAAGAACACCAGUGGCGAAGGCGGCUGUCUGGUCUGUAACUGACGCUGAGGCUCGAAAGUAUGGGUAGCAAACAGGAUUAGAUACCCUGGUAGUCCAUACCGUAAACGAUGAAUGCUAAGUGUUGGAGGGUUUCCGCCCUUCAGUGCUGCAGCUAACGCAUUAAGCAUUCCGCCUGGGGAGUACGGCCGCAAGGCUGAAACUCAAAGGAAUUGACGGGGGCCCGCACAAGCGGUGGAGCAUGUGGUUUAAUUCGAAGCUACGCGAAGAACCUUACCAGGUCUUGACAUACUAUGCAAAUCUAAGAGAUUAGACGUUCCCUUCGGGGACAUGGAUACAGGUGGUGCAUGGUUGUCGUCAGCUCGUGUCGUGAGAUGUUGGGUUAAGUCCCGCAACGAGCGCAACCCUUAUUAUCAGUUGCCAGCAUUAAGUUGGGCACUCUGGUGAGACUGCCGGUGACAAACCGGAGGAAGGUGGGGAUGACGUCAAAUCAUCAUGCCCCUUAUGACCUGGGCUACACACGUGCUACAAUGGAUGGUACAACGAGUUGCGAACUCGCGAGAGUAAGCUAAUCUCUUAAAGCCAUUCUCAGUUCGGAUUGUAGGCUGCAACUCGCCUACAUGAAGUCGGAAUCGCUAGUAAUCGCGGAUCAGCAUGCCGCGGUGAAUACGUUCCCGGGCCUUGUACACACCGCCCGUCACACCAUGAGAGUUUGUAACACCCAAAGUCGGUGGGGUAACCUUUUAGGAACCAGCC